CGCACAUUGCGCCCCUUGGAAUUCCACUGGGCAUGCCUGUUCGAGCGUCAUUUUCCAUCUUCAAGCCUUGCUUGGUGUUGGGCGUUUGUCUCUGUUCUGGCAGCAGACUCGUCUUGAAUUUAUUGGUAGCAGUCUGACCAGCUUUCUACGCAGCACUUUGCGUUCCCGAGAAGGGCUUCUGUAGGCAUGCAUCCAUUAAGAUUGUUAAAGGUUUGACCUCGAAUCAGGUAGGACUACCCGCUGAACUUAA
rnacentral:misc_RNA from 1 species